rnacentral:lncRNA from 1 species
GUGGGUGGACGGGCGUUGAGAAACUUUAUAUGAAGUAUGCGUUUAUUAUACUGCGGGCUCAAGAACAAACGUUGUCGUGACGUUUUGAGAAAACUGAGUUGUUUAAAAGGAAAUUGGUCGUUUUGUACGCUGUUUUGGACGCUUUUGGAUCGCGAAAACUUGUUAUUAUUGUCGAUUUUGUAUUGCUCUGUUGGCUGGCUUGAAUCAAGAAGAUUUGACUGUUUUUGAACGGUAAAAAUGAGCAUAAUUUGACUGAUUUAUUUCCGUAUAUGUGACGGUCGUAAUAUUUUAACUUAGACAGUCUCAGUUUAUUCAUUUAUGUAUUGUGUAAGGUUAAUA